AUCUUGCAAUCGUGAUUUCUCCAUUAUAUAUAUACAUUUAAUGUUACGCCUCAUUUUACGAGCCUCGGUACCGAAGUACCGAAGUGUCAUCUCGCCACUCCGAAGCCGGUGAAAUCAAAUAGACCACUCCGACCUCCCGAAGCUUCUCCAAAGUGAUACACCGAUUCCUGUCACUGAUCUGCCGAAGUGUCCCGUCUCCGAGGUCGGGUUCAAGUGGACCCCCGUUAGAAGAUUCGCUGCCAAUUUAAGAUUUGCUCUGCAUAUAAGGUUUAAAUUGAUUUGACGUCUCCCAUAAAGCUAUUUGAUGUGACUUAUCAACUUUAUGUCAAUUCAACUCAGGGGAAACAAACUGUCCGCCCACUCUACAAGCGCGGCUGAUUGACGCCUAUGAGCAGACGCUUCAUACCGUCAGAUGUAUACACGUGUUUCACAUCCCACAGUUCAUACCACCUAUAAAUACCCAAAGAUUGGACAGAGGCAAAGGUAAUGAAACUCUCAAUAGAUAGCACUCCAUAACAAGUUUAUAUAUUCUCCUCCCCCUUUAUUGACUGAUUGAUUUGUGUAGUCCCUGGACACUGUUCCGACCACCCAAACCUGACUUGACCGUCGGAGUGUAUACGGCCGCUACCCCCGUCGGUUCCGGCCGUGUGCGCCUGACAGUUUGUUCAUUUCGUAGGGAGGAAUACGUGGAGUAAUUACAAGUUGGCCACGUGGAAGAGCCAUUUUUAGAGGUCAACAUUUAAUAUUACUGAUCUGCUUGACAAUUUGUGCCUGAAAAGACCUUAACACUUCUUGAACAACCUAUCAAUGAUGUUUUAACUAAAUCACUGAAUGGUUAUUUGAAAAAAGGGCGAUUAAUGAUGUUUCAUCACAAUUAUUAAAUUGUUCAUGUGGUGGGUUCCUGAGGGCAUAUAGAACCUGUUCGCCGUCUCUCAUUAGCAAUGGCUUUUGGAAAAAGUAAUUGUAUCUUUUUACAUUACAUGUAUUCCACGUGCAACCCCAUCUUACUACCAAAAAACUUGUACGGUGGAAUUUUAUCCUAUAAACUUCGAAUCGUU
rnacentral:lncRNA from 1 species